rnacentral:pre_miRNA from 1 species
UAGUUUUGUCCCAAGUCAAACUUUUCUAACUUCGACCAAGUUUAUAGAAAAAAUGCACCAUCAUCUAUAAAAACAAAUAAAUACAACGCGAAAACAUAUUUCAUGGUUGAUUUAAUGAAACUAAUGUAGCGUUGUAGAUGUUGGUGCAUUUUUCUAUGAUCUUGUCAAAGUCAUUGAAGUUUGACUUAGAAAAAAACUAA